rnacentral:rRNA from 1 species
GGGCCCGCACAAGCGGUGGAGCAUGUGGUUUAAUUCGAUGAUACGCGAGGAACCUUACCAGGGCUUAAAUGUAGUCUGACAGGGGUGGAAACACCCCCUCCUUCUGGCAGAUUACAAGGUGCUGCAUGGUUUUCGUCAGCUCGUGCCGUGAGGUGUCAGGUUAAGUCCUAUAACGAGCGCAACCCCUGCCGUUAGUUGCCAGCAUGUAAUGAUGGGAACUCUAACGGGACUGCCGGUGCAAACCGCGAGGAAGGUGGGGAUGACGUCAAAUCAUCACGGCCCUUACGUCCUGGGCUACACACGUGCUACAAUGGCCGGUACAGAGGGCAGCCACACCGCAAGGUGGAGCG